GGCUACACAUGCAGUCGAGCGGUAGCACAGAGAAACUUGUUUCUUGGGUGACGAGCGGCGGACGGGUGAGUAAUGCUUGGGAACAUGCCUUUAGUGGGGGACAACAGUUGGAAACGACUGCUAAUACCGCAUGAUGUCUACGGACCAAAGUGGGGGACCUUCGGGCCUCACGCCUAAAGAUUGGCCCAAGUGGGAUUAGCUAGUUGGUGAGGUAAUGGCUCACCAAGGCAACGAUCUCUAGCUGGUUUGAGAGGAUGAUCAGCCACACUGGAACUGAGACACGGUCCAGACUCCUACGGGAGGCAGCAGUGGGGAAUAUUGCACAAUGGGCGAAAGCCUGAUGCAGCCAUGCCGCGUGUGUGAAGAAGGCCUUCGGGUUGUAAAGCACUUUCAGUCAGGAGCGAAACGCGUUACGUUUUAAUAGAGCGUAGCUGUGACGUUACUGACANAAAAAAGCCCCGGCUAACUCCGGUGCCAGCAGCCGCGGUAAUACGCGAGGGUGCGANCCGUUAAUCCGGGAUUACUGGGGGCGUUAAAGCGUACGCCAGGCCGGUUGGAUU
rnacentral:rRNA from 1 species